AAUCUAGAUUCCAUUAUGGCUCCAAUGUGUCUAUAAACCACCUGAAAUUAUAUGCAAAUUUUAUAUGGAUAUGCAAAUACACACAAGUAUGGGGAGAAAUUUCCAGCUUCAUCUUUUGGCAAUAUAGCUCAAUAGUUAAGGGCACAAUAGACCCUGCAUACAACUUGGUGGACAAAAGUGACUAGGAAUGCCAUAAAUGUUUGUCAAAUGCGUGAAUGACUGAAUAAGGAACAAAACAAAUGAAAGGCUUUUAUAAAGUUAUAAAACCCAAUACAAAUAUUAGGUAACACAAUAAUGAGAAUGUGACAAAAUGUGAUGAUUGCUAGGUAAUCUAAUGUUAAAUUGGUAGGAAUUAGUAUUGUGUGAAGGAAACCCUCUCUUCUCCAAUUUGCUAUAAAAUAUAUUAGUUCAUUGGAACCCGUGUCUUUUAACCAAAUGGAAAUUAUGCAAAAG
rnacentral:lncRNA from 10 species